GUGUGUAUAUGGCCGUGUGUAUAUAUAUAUAUAUAUAAAUGUUUAUAUACAUACAUACACGCGCAUACGGUGGCGGCCAGCUGCUUAAGACCGUGCCAUACUUUAUGAAACAACCGUGACUGACGUUUCACAAAUUUAAUAUCUCGCGUGUUAGACUCAUCAGUGACACGCGCCGAGAAUUAUGCAACGCGACUUAACAGUAUUUUUCACUUAUGAAUUACAAAUACUUUCAACAGUUCGUUACGUCGUAACGGUGGCUAAUUACGUGAGAGUUAUUCGCCGGUGCGAAACAUUUUUUACGACAUUCCAUAUAAAAUAAAUGUAUCGAGAAAUAAGGAGAAUUAAUUUUUGAUCAUUGUUGGUCCCUAACUUCUGUGAAGUGGAUUCUUGGUUCCUGUUUCAUACCUGAAGCCAUGGAUCUAGCGAUACAAGGGAAAACUUUGAAUUUUAACCCUCCAUUUAACCCUUUGUUUAAAAAAUGAAAUUGUUUCUUAAAUCCUGUGAAAUUUCUUCGGUGAACUAAAUAGAAAUUGUAUUUAUACUGUGUCCCCAAAGCGUCCCUUAUAAUAAACUACUUCUUAGACUCUUCCAAGACACGAUUUCCUAUAAAAACCCUAUCGGAGUGUCGUCCAGCGGACCUUAAACGAAACACCGUAACACUCUCGCUCCGAAAACGAAUCACAUUAAUUUCUGCCCGACUUGAACACUUCUCCACCGUCACGACGACAAGAUACAAUUGUUCAAAUUACUUGCAAUUUAUAAACAGAAAGCAUACACGAUUCCCAGCGAAUAUAGACUCGCGAGUCUGACAUACAAAAAAUCAAAUUGCUAAGAAUUAAAUCACGUUUAUUUUUUGAAUAAUGUAACAGCCCCAACUAGCCAGCCACCGCUGUAUGCAUACACGUAUAUACGGUUCGUUUACAAAUUAUAUUUAUGGUCAUAUGCCGGCACACGUAUGUACACAUGUUCCCAGGGACAGGCAGCGGCAUUCACGCGCGCACGCACACACCGACACGUCGCACUGAGAAUUUAUUCCGUUAAUCCUUGCCACGCAUACGACCGGAUCCACCGAUGUUCCGUCGAGCAUUUCUGGGGGAUUAUGGUGUUCGGACGAUUCAAUCCCUGACACGCCAUCGCUAAGCGCGCCUGCCGUGGCACCCCCAUCGUCUCCUAGCAACCCAACUGGAUGUCCCUGCACACCACACGAGCGAAAUUGUGAAUAACAAUGCGAUAAAUAACGCUUUAAUCCAGAGAUGGACGGGAGUAUUAUCUGAACUCCAAUUUCGAGUAAUUAAUAUAAGGAGAAAAAUUUCCUUUAUCGAGGGGAAGGGCUGAAGUUUGAGAAACACUGACAUAACGUAUUAAAAUUAAUUGGAAUGUAUCGAAACAUUAUUUAUUAAACUUCAAUCAGAAAGUAAUUUAUCGAUUCCCAAACGUUAUUCCAUUUUCUCCUUGUUUUUCGAAACGUAUACCAUUAAAAAAAAAAAAAAAAACUAUGACGCUCGUGAAUUAAAUUUAUAUUGCUUGAAAACAUUUUGAGGUACACAAAUUUUAUACAGAUAAUAAAAUAAAAUUCGUAACACGCGAUUAAGGUAACUCGCUCAAUGUUCAUAUAGGUAUAUUAUAAAACAGAAUCGAUAUGUAUCGUAAUAAAAAUAUUAAACUUUUGACAUCACCUCAAAAAUGCACAUGCUUUGGCAUUCCAUAUCUUUCUACAAAUGUUCAAGAAGAUAUAGAUAUAAAUUUCAACAGAUUUAAUUGCUUAUACACAUAAACCAUGUAUAUAAAAUAAUAUGUCCACGCAAUUAAUUUGAUAAAUAACUUCGUCACAUAUUGACUCAACAUUAAAAAUAAACAUCUUUAAAUAUCUUUGUUAAUAUAGCAUUUCAUACCCUUUAUAUUCGUAAUUUUUGUUUACGCGUCAUACGUGUAAAACUUUGAUAAGUACACAUACUCUUUAAAAAAAUGUACUGAUUAAACAUGCUGUUCCUAAUUGGAAGAAUUGAAUUGCAUAUGCUUUGUAUGCUCCUACGAACUGUCAAAUUUAUGUAUUAUACCAAUAGAAAAACAAAACAAAGUAUGAUAUAAGAA